UACGGGGGGGCAAGCGUUGUUCGGAAUUACUGGGCGUAAAGGGCUCGUAGGUGGCCAACUAAGUCAGACGUGAAAUCCCUCGGCUUAACCGGGGAACUGCGUCUGAUACUGGAUGGCUUGAGUUCGGGAGAGGGAUGCGGAAUUCCAGGUGUAGCGGUGAAAUGCGUAGAUAUCUGGAGGGACACCGGUGGCGAAGGCGGCAUCCUGGACCGACACUGACACUGAGGAGCGAAAGCCAGGGGAGCAAACGGG
rnacentral:rRNA from 1 species